rnacentral:rRNA from 1 species
UACGUAGGGUGCAAGCGUUAAUCGGAAUUACUGGGCGUAAAGCGUGCGCAGGCGGUUUUGUAAGUCUGUCGUGAAAUCCCCGGGCUCAACCUGGGAAUGGCGAUGGAGACUGCAAGGCUAGAGUUUGGCAGAGGGGGGUAGAAUUCCACGUGUAGCAGUGAGAUGCGUAGAUAUGUGGAGGAACACCGAUGGCGAAGGCAGCCCCCUGGGUCAAGACUGACGCUCAUGCACGAAAAGCGUGGGGAGCAAACAGG